rnacentral:rRNA from 1 species
CAGCCGUAAACUAUGCUCGCUAGGUGUCAGGCAUGGCGCGACCGUGUCUGGUGCCGCAGGGAAGCCGUGAAGCGAGCCACCUGGGAAGUACGGCCGCAAGGCUGAAACUUAAAGGAAUUGGCGGGGGAGGCACAACAACGGGUGGAGCCUGCGGUUUAAUUUGGACUCAACGCCGGGAAGCUCACCGGAUAAGACAGCGGAAUGAUUGCCGGGCUGAAGACUCUGCAUGACUAGCUGAGAGGUGGUGCAUGGCGUAGACGUCU